rnacentral:misc_RNA from 1 species
GUGAAUCAUCGAAUUUUUGAACGCAAAUUGCACUCUCCUCUGUGCGUAUGCCCAUUUGUGGUUCAGCCUCUAAAAAAUCGUCAACGUUGCUGUUUCGCGGCUGCGUUCGUCGGAAAUUUGGUCAUCUUAAAUCUUUUUGCUUUAAGCGACUUAAAAUUUUCUUUUUGGUUCUAUUAACGU